rnacentral:misc_RNA from 1 species
AAGUCGUAACAAGGUUUCCGUAGGUGAACCUGCGGAAGGAUCAUUAUCGAGUUUUGACUGGGUUGUAGCUGGCCUUCCGAGGCAUGUGCACGCCCUGCUCAUCCACUCUACACCUGUGCACUUACUGUGGGUUUCAGAUGUUAUUAGCGGGGCCUUUACGGGUCUCGUGAAAGCGUCUGUGCCUGCGUUUAUUACAAACUCUUACAAGUAACAGAAUGUGUAUUGCGAUGUAACGCAUUUAAAUACAACUUUCAGCAACGGAUCUCUUGGCUCUC